GCCACCUUUGACUGGAAGAUGACUCCUGUCUGUUUCAUAGGGGCCUUGCAAACCUCACCAUGAUAUACAUAGCCAGUAAACGGGAGUCCCUAUAACACAAGACAGAUGAUAAACUUCUCCGGCAGCCUGGGAAAGGAGAGGGCAACGCAUUGCAGGAAAAAAAAAAGCACAAAUUUCUCUUUGGGUGACUACUUUGUUUCCUUUUCAUCAGUUAUGGGAACUCCAUUUUGAACAAAGGAAAUGCAAACUGGCAAAGAAACAAAGGGCCUUUGGUUUUCCCUUUGGACUUUAUGGUAGCAGCUGUAAGAUAAUCCAUGCCCUUUGCUGAACCUGUGUGUAUGAGAAAACCACAGCAGCUCACAUGCCCAUUGGCUUAUCUCCUGAAGGAGGUUACUGGCCAAGUGACAGUUGUGAUCUCUACGUGUACCAAGUGCAGUGCUGCUGUAUACUGUUGUAACAUCCAUCUUUCCUUGUUCCCUUCUUUCACUGCCCUCCAACAUCAUGCAUCAGAUUCUCCGGAAAGGGACCUCUGCCAACAGGUCAAGAGUGAUGUGCCCAGCUCCAUGUCCACGGUCAUACCCUAGGAAACCUAGAGCAAGUCAAAUUGUCUGUGGGGAGAGACAAACACCUUUGGAAGUGGAGAAUAUUCCCACUAGGCUGAGACAUCUGUCAUAGAGGCAUCCUUCUCCAGCAGUGCCUUGUCUCUCCCUGCUGGCUGCAAAAGGGAUGUCUGGUUUAGAGAAGUCAGUAGCUUUCAGAAGGAUAAAUUCAAAUGGAACCAAUCUGCUCCUGAAGGUACAUGCUUGCAUAGCUGUUGGCUGGCCCUUCUGUUUUAAUCACUUCCUUCUCCUUUCUCUCGUUGAAGAGCGCAUGGCUCUCCCACUCCUUCUCAGUGGUUGCUCAGAGACUUUCCUCACACUGGGUGGCUGCUUGGGAAGUCAUCAGCUGCCAGAUGAGCAAGGAGGGAAAGUGACAGCUGCCUGAGGGAAGGAGCUGGCACGUGGAGCAGAGCAAAGGGCUCCAGUAUGACCAUCUGUGGGACAUAGGAUGCAACCAUGGACAUCACAACUCAAGUAAGGGAACUCCAGCAGAAAUGAAGAGCCAUGCGGGGGCUGGAAGUGUUGCUGUGCUUGUGGGGAGGCAGCAUGACCAGAUGAACCCAGCAUCUGUGCCUUCACCACACAAAAAGGAAGAGGGAAGAUAGUCUUGAAGACCAUAAUAAGUCAAGGCAGGUGAAAAGCUCUUGUUAAAACUAAAGGACAGUGUGUCAUACAAACUAAUGUGAUUAAAUUGGUAUUUAAUAAGAUUUUAACUGGAAAUAAUCAGCAUGUUUCAUCACAGGAGCAGUGGGAUCCUUCUUGCCAGCAACCCCAAACCCUAAUUACUCCUAAGGUGGUCCUAGGCAGCAGAGGCUUUAUACAUGGUCUUUUCCAGCCCUGUGUUCAGCCAACUCGUAGAAUCAUUAAGGCUGGAAAAGGCCUGUCAGAUCAUCCAAUCCAGCCAUCAAACCAUUCCCACCAUGCCCGCUAACCAUGUUCCUCAGUGCCACAUGUACGCGUUCCUUGAACGUGUGAUUCUACUACAUCAUCAUCCAGGGGUGGGCAAUUGCUUGGCUGCCAGCUCAGUGCUGACUCUGAGAGCCCUGUGGGGCUGAAGAGAAUCCCCCUCAGCCACCUGUGAUUUCUGGCCAUUAGUGUGACAACAGCUGCACAUCGAUGUGCUGUGCACGAUCAUGUGGUAGCAUUCUCUUCCACAAGUUUUUUGUAAUACAAAGUAAGAGGGAAUAAGUUCGAUUUUACGCUGUUGAAUGCAAUGAAAUUACACGGGGGAUUCCAGUGCUCCUUAGUGACUCUCUGGCAGCUUCUGCAGGACUGCAGCACUCCACGGGCGGCUGUCUGCCUCUGCUGACAGGAGGGGAUUCCUCCAGCCUUAGGAUUCCCCACCAUGCUGAGCUCUUGCCUCCCGUGUUUGGAGCCUGGUCAGAUUUCAUCACGGAAUGUCCUUGUGGGACCAGCACCGGCUCUGGGGAGCAGCAAGCUCAUUGCAGGCAAGGCUGUUUCCCUGGGAAAUUGCUGCUGCUUUCAGCUCUGCUUCUGGAUGCUGGCUUAGGCACAGACUGUGCAGACCACACAAAUACAGCCUCAGUCUGCCUGCAUCCAUCCGUGCCUGUAUCUAGCAGUCUCACACUCGUGUCACCCCUCUCCCCAUAAUGAAUAUGAGUCACAGAAAGGACUCACACUGGAAACGAGUCUCACUGGUGAAGCUAACCAACACUGCUAAUGCAAGUCAUCAGAGUGUGUUUCAUUCAUCAAAAAUUUGCACAAAACUUUGUAUAAUUUCCAGUCAGGAUCCUUCCCAGCGUGCCCUAA
ensembl:lncRNA